rnacentral:rRNA from 1 species
GAACGGUAACGUGGGGAGGAGCUUGCUCCGCCCCGACGACGAGUGGCGAACGGGUGAGUAAUACAUCGGAACGUGUCCGCUCGUGGGGGACAACCAGCCGAAAGGUUGGCUAAUACCGCAUGAGUUCUACGGAAGAAAGAGGGGGACCCGCAAGGGCCUCUCGCGAGCGGAGCGGCCGAUGACUGAUUAGCCGGUUGGUGAGGUAACGGCUCACCAAAGCAACGAUCAGUAGCUGGUCUGAGAGGACGACCAGCCACACUGGGACUGAGACACGGCCCAGACUCCUACGGGAGGCAGCAGUGGGGAAUUUUGGACAAUGGGCGCAAGCCUGAUCCAGCUAUUCCGCGUGUGGGAUGAAGGCCCUCGGGUUGUAAACCACUUUUGUAGAGAACGAAAAGACACCAUCGAAUAAAUGGUGUUGCUGACGGUACUCUAAGAAUAAGCACCGGCUAACUACGUGCCAGCAGCCGCGGUAAUACGUAGGGUGCGAGCGUUAAUCGGAAUUACUGGGCGUAAAGGGUGCGCAGGCGGUUGAGUAAGACAGAUGUGAAAUCCCCGAGCUUAACUCGGGAAUGGCAUAUGUGACUGCUCGACUAGAGUGUGUCAGAGGGAGGUGGAAUUCCACGUGUAGCAGUGAAAUGCGUAGAUAUGUGGAAGAACACCGAUGGCGAAGGCAGCCU